rnacentral:rRNA from 1 species
CAAGUUACACAGAGUACGAGGUGGAUGCCUUGGCGCAUAUGACCGAAGAAGGACGCGGAGACCGGCGAAACGUUCGGGGGGAGCUGCAUACAAGCGAAGAACCCCGAGAUUCCGAAUGAGGCAACUCCUCCAGAGUGAUGUCUGGAGACCGCCCACUGAACACAUAGGUGGUGACGGGGGGACGUGGGUGAACUGAAACAUCUCAGUAGCCCGACUAAAAGAAAUCAACCGAGAUUCCCGUAGUAGUGGCGAGCGAACCGGGAACAGCCCAAACCAGCGAUCCCUCGGGACCGUUGGGGUUGUAGGACCAGCGUAAAGAGACGCAGCGGUAUUCGAACACGUUGGAAAGCGUGACCAGAGCGGGUGAGAGUCCCGUAGAAGACACCGGUGCCGAUCGGGCUGGGAUCCUGAGUACCACGAGACACGUGAAAUCUUGUGGGAAGCAGGGGGGACCACCCUCCAAGGCUAAAGACCAUAUGCGACCGAUAGCGAACAAGUACCGUGAGGGAAAGGUGAAAAGCACCCCGCGAGGGGGAUGAAAGAGAUCCUGAAACCACGUACUCACCAGCAGUCAGAGGCCACUGUUCCAUGAGGAACCAAGGGCUGAUGGCGUGCCUUUUGUAGAAUGAUCCGGCGAGUGCAUCGUCGUAGCAGGUUAACCAACGCUAACGUUGGGGAGCCAGAGGGCAACCGAGUCUGAAACACGGCAAAAGUUGCGGCGAUGCGACCCGAAACCACGUGAGCUAUCCAUGAGCAGAGUGAAGCGGAUGUGACAGUCCGUCGAGGCUCGCACCCACCAGUGUUGCAAAACUGGGGGAUGACUUGUGGAUAGAGGAGAAAUUCCAAUCGAACGUGGAGAUAGCUGGUUCUCCCCGAAAUGUAUUGAGGUACAGCUGCGUAGUGGCUCUGGUGGAGGUAGAGCACUGAAUGGGCUAGGGGCCAAGUGCUGGUUACCAAACCCAACCAAACUCCGAAUGCCACUAGAGAGAGCACGCAAGUGAGACGGCGGGGGCUAAGCUUCGUCGUCGAGAGGGAAACAGCCCAGAUCACCAGCUAAGGUCUCCAAAUCAGGACUGAGUGUACAAGGGAGUCAGUACGCCCAAACAGCCAGGAUGUUGGCUUAGAAGCAGCCAUCAUUGAAAGAGUGCGUAAUAGCUCACUGGUCGAGUGUAGUGGCACCGACAACGUAUCGAGGCUUAAGUCCUGUACCGAAGCUGUGAAAUCCGUCUCUUUUUGAGAUGGGUUGGUAGGGGAGCGUUCUGUGAGCGGAGAAGCCAGAUCGGAAGAACUGGUGGAGCGAACAGAAGUGAGAAUGCCGGAAUGAGUAGCGCCAUAUCUGUGUGAACCAGAUACACCGAAAGCCUGAGGGUUCCUGGGCACCGUCAAUCGUCCCAGGGUCAGUCGGGUCCUAAGCCGAGGACGUUAUAGUCGUAGGCGAUGGCAAGCAGGCCAGAUAUUCCUGCACCGGAGUACAUUGUUUGACCGAAGGGGGGACGCGGUAAGGAAGGUGAACCCAUCGAAUGGACAGGAUGGGCGUGUGCGUUGAAGUGCGAAACCGAGGCAAAUCCCGGUUUCCAGUGCAUGACACGUGCACCGAGCGCUCGCAAGAGUGCGGAAGUCAUUGAACCCUACGCCGCCAAGAAAAGCCUCUAGGAAGAUGUAUACUCCGCCCGUACCGCAAACCGACACUGGUAGGCAGGGGGAAAUCUCCCCAGGUGUACGAGCGACCCUCUGUUAAGGAACUCGGCAAAUUAACCCCGUACCUUCGGAAGAAGGGGUGCCUGAGUAGCUUUCUCGCGUAAGUGAGGGGGUGAGCAGGCUGCAAGAAAUAGGCUCAACCGACUGUUUACCAAAAACACAGGUCUCUGCGAACACGAAAGUGGAAGUAUAGGGGCUGACUCCUGCCCAGUGCCGGAAGGUUACGAGGAGCGGUGCACGUAGCUGCGAAUCUAAGCCCCGGUGAACGGCGGCCGUAACUAUAACGGUCCUAAGGUAGCGAAAUUCCUUGUCGGGUAAGUUCCGACCCGCACGAAAGGAGUAACGAGUUGAGCGCUGUCUCGACAGAGGACUCGGCGAAAUUGAAGUACCCGUGAAGAUACGGGUUACCCACGACAGGACAAAAAGACCCCGUGGAGCUUUACUACACCCUGGCCUGGAAACGAGGUGGAGUGUGCGUAGGAUAGGUGGGAGCCGGAGAAAUCAUCCUUGUGGGGGUGAUGGAGGCAAAAGUGAAAUACCACUCUCACUGUAUGUUGUUUCUCAUCCUGAACCAUGAAGCUGGUCAGGAGACAGGACCAGGCGGGUAGUUUGACUGGGGCGGUCGCCUCCCAAAGAGUAACGGAGGCGCUCAAAGGUUCCCUCAGGGUGGAUGGACAUCACCCGCAAAGAGUGCAAAGGCAGAAGGGAGCUUGACUGCAAGACGGACAGGUCGAGCAGGGACGAAAGUCGGACUUAGUGAUCCCACAUUCCCGAGUGGAAGGAGUGUGGCUCAACGGAUAAAAGCUACCCCGGGGAUAACAGGCUGAUCUUGCCCAAGAGUUCAUAUCGACGGCAAGGUUUGGCACCUCGAUGUCGGCUCGUCGCAUCCUGGGGCUGGAGUAGGUCCCAAGGGUUGGGCUGUUCGCCCAUGAAAGCGGCACGCGAGCUGGGUUCAGAACGUCGCGAGACAGUUCGGUCUCUAUCCGUCGUGGGCGUAGGAGAAUUGAGGGGCGUCAUCUCCAGUACGAGAGGACCGAGAUGGCUCAACCGCUGGUGAGCCAGUUGGCCUGCCCGGGCCAGAGCUGGAUAGCUACGUUGAGAAGGGAUAAGCGCUGAAAGCAUCUAAGCGCGAAGCCGCACCCAAGACAAGUUCUCCCAUCCUUUCUUCGGAGAGGAUCAAGAUCCCAGGAAGAGAACCUGGUAGGAAGACGACACGUGGAAGUCCGGUAACGGAUGAAGCGAAGUUGGACUUAUGAUCGUACGGCUUGUUU